CAAUAGCGUAUAUUAAAGUUGUUGCAGUUAAAAAGCUCGUAGUUGGAUUUGUGGCGUACGGUGUGUUCCGGGCACUUGUUGUCUGAGUAACCUGCUGUUGCCAUCCUUGGGUGGAACCUGUGUGGCAUUAGGUUGUCGUGCAGGGGAUGCCCAUCAUUUACUGUGAAAAAAUUAGAGUGUUCAAAGCAGGCUUAUGCCGUUGAAUAUAUUAGCAUGGAAUAAUGAGAUAGGACUUUUUUGCUAUUUUGUUGGUUUGCGCAAAGAGGUAAUGAUUAAUAGGGACAGAUGGGGGUAUUCGUAUUCCAUUGUCAGAGGUGAAAUUCUUGGAUUUUUGGAAGACGAACUACUGCGAAAGCAUUUACCAAGGAUGUUUUCAUUAA
rnacentral:rRNA from 1 species